GAGUUGUGGCAGGGCAGGGCAGAUGGGGAAGAUAAGAUUGUCGCUAUCCUUCCAAAGAGAAAGGCUGAAAACCAGAACCAGGGGAGGACAACCUCGUGGGACCUCAUAGAAAAAGUGACCAGGCGUCUGCUUGUCCGGUGAUGUAGAUACCCAGGCUUGUUGGCAUUCCAUUCACUGUGACCCAAAGUUAAAUGAUUCCAAAGAAUAAAAGCUGUCAGGGGGUUGGGAGGUGUUGGAGGAUAUUUAGAGCAGUGGGACUGAACUUUCUGUGCAUUUUUCCAGAAACUUCAGAGAGCUGGUGAGCAAAAUCAGGUCUGUUCACCUUACCAAACCUUUAGCUUUCUUCUCUUCAUCCCUCCCUCAAACAGGGACUGUCAUUUAAUGGCACGUUUUGUUCGCAGAUGUCACUGCCGAGCUAUACUUGGAGCACUCAUCCUAAAUCUGAUCUGGUCGUCACCUCCUGCUUGGACUUUUGUGAUAGACUCCUUGGGGGAAAAAUUAUACGUUUCUUGUAAAUAUUAUGACAACCUCGCAGGAAUACUGUAUAACGAUUAGGAAGAAAAAGACACAUUCUGAUCCGUAACCUUACUGCCUGAGACAAAUAUCGUUAUCCUAUUGGAUAUAUCUUUUGGUUCUUUUUAGUAUAAAUGUACACAUGCACAUGAAUUUUUUAAAACAAAAACCUAAUCAUAUUGUACAUGCUUUUUAAUGAGUUACUUUUCAAAAUGUGUAUUUAUAUUGCAGAAUAUAGCCACAGCAACGCCGGAUCAUUAACCCACUGAGCAAGGGCAGGGACCGAACCCGCAACCUCAUGGUUCCUAGUCGGAUUCGUUAACCACUGCGCCACGACGGGAACUCCCACCCCUCUCAUUUCCAUCGACUCAGCAAUAACACUCAAGGUCCUUUUUGGGUUUUGUUUUUUGUUUGGGGGUUUUGUUUUGUUUUGUUUUGUUUUUCUUUCUUUUUAGGGCAGCAUCCACAGCAUAUGGAGGUUCCUGGGCUAGGGGUCCAACGGGAGCUACAGCUGCUGGCCUAUACCACAGCUCACGGCAACGCCAGAUCCUUAACCCGCUGAGCGAGGUCAGGGAUUGAACCUGCAACCUCAUAGUUCUUAGUCGACUCAUUUCCUCUGUACCAUGAUGGGAACUCCAGGUCCCUCCUGUGAUUUCCCCCACUUACUCUUCCAGGCUCACCUCCUGGUCAUCUUAUCACAGUUCCCUACAUUCCACUGCUGCACAGCUUCUUGUAAGUCCCUGAACCCAUCAUUCUGGGGUUUUUGGACCUUUCCACGCUAUUCCCUCUGCCCAGCUGGCUAUGUCUCACCCCUCUAACCCGUUCUUUGUCUUGCUAACUCUUAUGGGAUUGUCCAAGUCACCACUGCUUGAAAGCCUUCUUUGUCCCCUUAGUCUGCAUUCCAAAGACAUGAGCCUACCUCUGUCUAGCAUUUGCUACAAAUAGGACUUGGAACUUCAUAUUUUUGUUUAGCUGAUUCACUGCAAGAAUGUUUCUUAAAGCAAGCCCUGUGGUUUAUUCACCUUCGCAGCUAGAAUGCCUAGCACAAUGCCUGGCACAUAGUAAAUGCUCAAUAAAUGUUGAGCAUUGAGCCUGGAAUGAAUUGUGGACUUGGUGGCAUAUGUUACUUGAGGCAAGUGCAGGGAGGGACUGGACCUGUGCUUCUGAGAAAUGAAGAAAUCCUGGGAGAUUUGGGUUAGAAGAGAAGCUAUGUGCUCCAGUGCUAUGCUUUCCAAACCAUCAGACUCACUUGAAGCAGAUUUUUUAAAAUGCAUAAUCUCUGGGAAUUCCUGUCGUGGCUCAGCAGUUAACGAACCCAACUAGCAUCAAUGAGGACCCGGGUUCUAUCCCUGGUUUCGCUCAGCAGGUUAAGGAUCUGGCACUGCCGUGAGCUGUAGUGUAGGUUGCAGACACGGCUCAAAUCCUGAGUUGCUGUGGCUGUGUCAUAGGCUGUCAGCUAUAGUUCCGAUUGGUCUCCUGGCCUGGGAACCUCUGUAUGCCUCAGGUGUGGCCCUAAAAAGAUUUUUAAAAAAUUAAAUAAAUAAAAAAUAGGGAGUUCCCGUCGUGGCGCAGUGGUUAACGAAUCCGACUAGGAACCAUGAGGUUGCGGGUUCGGUCCCUGGCCUUGCUCAGUGGGUUAACGAUCCGGCAUUGCCGUGAGCUGUGGUAUAGGUUGCAGACGCGGCUUGGAUCCCGCGUUGCUGUGGCUCUGGCAUAGGCCGGUGGCUACAGCUCCGAUUCGACCCCUAGCCCAGGAACCUCCAUAUGCCGUGGGAGCGGCCCAAAGAAAUAGCAAAAAA
rnacentral:lncRNA from 1 species